UACGGAGGGUGCGAGCGUUGUCCGGAAUCACUGGGCGUAAAGGGCGCGUAGGCGGCGCGAGUAGUCAACGGUGAAAGCCCGGGGCUCAACCCGGGUCGGCCGUCGAUACUCUCGUGCUUGAGCACUGUAGAGGCAGGUGGAAUUCCGGGUGUAGCGGUGGAAUGCGCAGAUAUCAGGAGGAACACCGGUGGCGAAGGCGGAUCUCUGGGCCAUUACUGACGCUGAGGAGCGAAAGCGUGGGGAGCGAACAGG
rnacentral:rRNA from 1 species